rnacentral:rRNA from 1 species
AGAGUUUGAUCCUGGCUCAGGACGAACGCUGGCGGCACGCCUAACACAUGCAAGUCGAACGGAGAAAAUGAUUUCGGUUAUUUUCUUAGUGGCGGACGGGUGAGUAACACGUGAGGAACCUGCCUCUGAGAGUGGGAUAGCUUCUGGAAACGGAUGGUAAUACCGCAUAACAUAGCGAAACCGCAUGAUUUUGCUAUCAAAGUAUUUCGCUCAGAGAUGGCCUCGCGUCUGAUUAGAUAGUUGGUGAGGUAACGGCUCACCAAGUCGACGAUCAGUAGCCGGACUGAGAGGUUGAACGGCCACAUUGGGACUGAGACACGGCCCAGACUCCUACGGGAGGCAGCAGUGGGGGAUAUUGCACAAUGGGGGAAACCCUGAUGCAGCGAUGCCGCGUGGAGGAAGAAGGUCUUCGGAUUGUAAACUCCUGUUGUUGAGGAAGAUAAUGACGGUACUCAACAAGGAAGUGACGGCUAACUACGUGCCAGCAGCCGCGGUAAAACGUAGGUCACAAGCGUUGUCCGGAAUUACUGGGUGUAAAGGGAGCGCAGGCGGGAAGACAAGUUGGAAGUGAAAUCCAUGGGCUCAACCCAUGAACUGCUUUCAAAACUGUUUUUCUUGAGUAGUGCAGAGGUAGGCGGAAUUCCCGGUGUAGCGGUGGAAUGCGUAGAUAUCGGGAGGAACACCAGUGGCGAAGGCGGCCUACUGGGCACCAACUGACGCUGAGGCUCGAAAGUGUGGGUAGCAAACAGGAUUAGAUACCCUGGUAGUCCACACCGUAAACGAUGAUUACUAGGUGUUGGAGGAUUGACCCCUUCAGUGCCGCAGUUAACACAAUAAGUAAUCCACCUGGGGAGUACGACCGCAAGGUUGAAACUCAAAGGAAUUGACGGGGGCCCGCACAAGCAGUGGAGUAUGUGGUUUAAUUCGACGCAACGCGAAGAACCUUACCAAGUCUUGACAUCCUGCGACGGUUCUGGAAGCAGAACUUUCCUUCGGGACGCAGAGACAGGUGGUGCAUGGUUGUCGUCAGCUCGUGUCGUGAGAUGUUGGGUUAAGUCCCGCAACGAGCGCAACCCUUAUGGUCAGUUACUACGCAAGAGGACUCUGGCCAGACUGCCGUUGACAAAACGGAGGAAGGUGGGGAUGACGUCAAAUCAUCAUGCCCUUUAUGACUUGGGCUACACACGUACUACAAUGGCGUUAAACAAAGAGAAGCGAGACCGCGAGGUGGAGCAAAACUCAGAAACAACGUCCCAGUUCGGACUGCAGGCUGCAACUCGCCUGCACGAAGUCGGAAUUGCUAGUAAUCGUGGAUCAGCAUGCCACGGUGAAUACGUUCCCGGGCCUUGUACACACCGCCCGUCACACCAUGAGAGCCGGGGGGACCCGAAGUCGGUAGUCUAACCGCAAGGAGGACGCCGCCGAAGGUAAAACUGGUGAUUGGGGUGAAGUCGUAACAAGGUA